AUGAACGCUGGCGGCGUGCCUAAUACAUGCAAGUCGAGCGAACGGACGAGAAGCUUGCUUCUCUGAUGUUAGCGGCGGACGGGUGAGUAACACGUGGAUAACCUACCUAUAAGACUGGGAUAACUUCGGGAAACCGGAGCUAAUACCGGAUAAUAUUUUGAACCGCAUGGUUCAAAAGUGAAAGACGGUCUUGCUGUCACUUAUAGAUGGAUCCGCGCUGCAUUAGCUAGUUGGUAAGGUAACGGCUUACCAAGGCAACGAUGCAUAGCCGACCUGAGAGGGUGAUCCGCCACACUGGAACUGAGACACGGUCCAGACUCCUACGGGAGGCAGCCGUAGGGAAUCUUCCGCAAUGGGCGAAAGCCUGACGGAGCAACGCCGCGUGAGUGAUGAAGGUCUUCGGAUCGUAAAACUCUGUUAUUAGGGAAGAACAUAUGUGUAAGUAACUGUGCACAUCUUGACGGUACCUAAUCAGAAAGCCACGGCUAACUACGUG
rnacentral:rRNA from 1 species